GACGAACGCUGGCGGCGUGCUUAACACAUGCAAGUCGAACGGAAAGGCCCCUUUUGGGGUACUCGAGUGGCGAACGGGUGAGUAACACGUGAGUAACCUGCCCUUGACUUCGGGAUAACUUCAGGAAACUGGGGCUAAUACCGGAUAGGCAUCCUUGCUGCAUGGUGGGGGUUGGAAAGCUUCGGCGGUUUUGGAUGGACUCGCGGCUUAUCAGCUUGUUGGUGGGGUAGUGGCUUACCAAGGCGUUGACGGGUAGCCGGCCUGAGAGGGCGACCGGCCACAUUGGGACUGAGAGACGGCCCAGACGCCGACGGGAGGCAGCAGGGGGGAAGAUUGCACAAUGGGCGGAAGCCUGAUGCAGCAACGCCGCGGGCGGGAUGACGGCCUUCGGGUUGUAAACCGCUUUCAGCAGGGGCGAAGCUUGUGGUGACGGUACCUGCAGAAGAAGCACCGGCUAACUACGUG
rnacentral:rRNA from 1 species